rnacentral:rRNA from 1 species
AUGGGAUCGCGGCCGGGAGAGAGCAACCUGGUGGAGCCGAGAGGGCUGCCGUCCGGCAUGGCGAUGCAGCCCUGGUGGACGGGGACAGGGUUCGGGGCCGUGUCUCCGGCCGUCGUGGCGCCCGGAAGCGGGGCGGGGAUCAGCCUGUCGAGCAACCCGCUCGGCGGCGGCGCGGGCAAGGGCGCGACGACGCAGGGGAAGAAGAAGACGGCCGACGACGACCCGCGCGCCCAGAGUAGCGACGACGACUCCCAGAGAUCAGGGGAACCAAAAGAUGGAAGCUUUGAAGAAGAAAAUCAACGUGCCACGUCGCGGAUGCCUGCUUUGGCCACAGACUAUUUAGCACCAUACUCACACCUAGAACUAAACCAACCGAUGGCUUCGGCAACGUACCCGUACCCUGAUGCUUACUACACAGGCAUGGUCGGUCCCUAUGGAGCUCAAGCAGUGGCUCACUUCCAGCUACCCGGGCUGACGCACCCUCGCAUGCCGCUGCCUCUGGAAGUGUCCGAGGAGCCCGUGUACGUGAACGCCAAGCAGUACCAUGGCAUUCUGAGGCGGCGGCAGUCGCGCGCCAAGGCCGAGCUCGAGAGGAAGGCGAUCAAGGCCAGGAAGCCUUACCUCCACGAGUCCCGGCACCAGCACGCGAUGCGGCGGGCGAGGGGCACCGGCGGCCGCUUCCUCAACACCAAGAAGGACGAGAACGGCGCCUCCAAUGGCGGCAGAACCGAAGCAAACAAAGGCGAGCAGAGCUCCGACUAUCUCCGGGUGCCGCCGGACCUGCAUCUCCGUCAGGCGUGA